GGACUACAGGGGUAUCUAAUCCUGUUUGCUCCCCACGCUUUCGCACCUCAGUGUCAGUCUGGACCCAGGCAGCCGCCUUCGCCACCGAUGUUCUUUCCGAUCUCUACGCAUUUCACCGCUACACCGGAAAUUCCACUGCCCUCUAUCCGACUCAAGUUAAGCAGUUUUCAACGCAAUUCCCAGGUUAAGCCCAGGGCUUUCACAUCAAACUUACUCAACCACCUACGUGCGCUUUACGCCCAGUAAUUCCGAUUAACGCUUGCACCCUCUGUAUUACCGCGGCUGCUGGCAC
rnacentral:rRNA from 1 species